GACCACGUAUUUAGGAACACCCUACUACCCUUUGGUAUGGUAUAGCCACCCACAGUGAGCGAUCGGGCUGAACAUCGGGGAACAAGGAGCGGCAAUACUGGAUGUAAUCGGAAGGUUUCCUUUAUCACUGCAUUUAGGUAUCUUAAAUUAGGCAAGUGAAACUCUUCAACAGUGUUGUUUACCCCAAUGACAUCAUUUAAUUCUUUCUUCACUUUCUCCAUUAUUUCUGGAUGUUGCAUCAGCUCUGACAUUGCCCACUCUGUUGAACCCGAAGUAGUAUCUGUUCCAGCCACCACAAUGUUCUAAUUUAAAAUACAUUAGCACCCAAGACAAGUAAAAGGAAGAAGAAAAAAAUAGGAUAGUUAAAAACAUAGAAACUUACUACUAGGAUACCCUUGAUUUGAUUCAUUGUAAGUGAUGAAGGGCUAUCUUGGUUCUUAUGUAAAUCCAAGAGCAUCUGUAACACAUCAGAUUUUUGUUCACCAGUUUCCUUCUUCAUUCUUUCUUCAAUCACUGAAUCCAAAAAUUCAUUGAACGAUUGACGGAUUUUCUUCAUUCCCCUCUCAAUGCCUUGUAUGUCAAACCAAGCAAUCGAUGGAAAAAUAUCGGAAAUGUUUGGUUUUCCCAAAAACACCAUUAUCUCUGCAAAAAUCUUUUUGAACUGACUCUCCACGAUAGUCCUUUGCUCUCCUUGGAUUUCGCCUCCCCACACCAUGUUGCCGAUCAAACUGGUUAACGUACGAAAUGCCAAUUCACCGACAUCAAUCAGCUUACCGACGUUUUCAUACACAUCCCCCACCAUUUCCAUCACUUUUUCUCGCCGUAGAUCAUAACAGGCAUUAAGAUUAGCGCUGCUAAGCAUAUCGGAUGCGAGAAUUUUGCGCUUGUGUUUCCAGCUGGGACUGCUGUAAGAGUCGAAUGCAAUAUCAUUAGUGCCGAAGGUAAUAAUCUGCGCAGCAAUGGGAGGUUCUCGCUCUGAAAAGGCUAUAUCAUGGUCACGAACCACUUCUUUUACAAGCGAUGGAGAGCUAAUUACUACGAUUAGCUUGUUUCCAAGCCAAAGUUUGUAGAUAGGACCGUAAACUCCGGCCAACUCCGUAAAGACCAGAUGGAGAUUAUCGAAUCCAAGAAAUGGAAGAUACCCCACUAUUGGCAACCCAAGGGGACCAGGCGGUAAUGGAGCCAUCGGUUUCCUUGCCUUUAGAAAUGGGUACCAGAGUGAAAGCCCCAACAUGGCAACCAGAAAUAGGAAAGCUGCUGGUAAGAAUCCAUCUUUCUGGUUGCCACCAUUCAACAGCCAUGAAAGAAAGCUGUAAGCUGUUUGGAACAUCUUUUUCGCUUUUGUGAGGAAAACCAGGAAAUUUUUACACUGAGAUUUACCCGGUAAGUGCAGUGCCUACUAAGAAGUGACCAUACUUUAUAGUACUAAAAUAGCUGUUUGGUAAUUUAUUUUGUUUUUUUUAAAUUCAUUUUCAAUUUAAUUUAAUUUAUGCAAGAAUUUAUAAAUGAACUUAAAAUAUUUAUAUAACAUAUUUCGGUGAAUUAUUAAUUUGAUUUAGUUGAUUAAUUGAAAUAUGCUGACCCAAAAUUUUAAAAAACUUCUAAUCGAUCCCUGUCUUUGCUGCUGUUGAUGAUGAUGUUCCUCUUGCAUCCUUUGUUCCUCAAAUCGCAAGAAAGCGGACAAAGAGACUUAUUACAGCAAAACUCUAUUUUGUCUCUUUCCUUAAUAAGAAGACUUAUUACAGCCAAACUGAAGAAGCUUUCUUCUUAGUUUAUCUCCAUCUUAUCUCUUUCCUUUCCUUGAUAAGAAGACUUAUAUAUUAAUGUCUUUGCUUACAGAUUUUGUAUGAUUAUUCAGUAAAUGAACUUAUUUGAGUGUAUAAUUAAAUGGUUCUAAAUUUUCAUUGAAAAUGUACUAAUGAGAAAGUGUUAGUAUAUUAUUAUGAGAUAUUAUCUUUUAGUAAUUUGAUUUCUAUGUAAUUAUUAUAUAUACUCUUGAGACUUAUCAAUAAAAUUUAAGAGAUUACCCCAUCCUCCACCACCACCAGUUCUUCAUUGCUUUUGAAAAGUGCUUUGAAAAGUUUGGUUUAAAAUUUGAGUGUUUAGCAUUGCUGUCAAAAAGUGCUUUUGAGAAAUAAAAUGUCCAUUUUAGAUAUGUUAUUGUCAAGUAACAAAUAUGCAUUUAAAUAAUAUUUAAAUUAGUUAAUAUUAUUAUAUUUUAGUAAGAAUAUAAAAAAUUUAUUAUAACUUGUUGUUAAUAUUUUAAUAUAUGAAAUAUAAAUUUUAAAUAUUUUUAAGCAAUAAAUAAUAAUUAUUUAUAAAAUUUAAUUAGAAUAUAUAAACUAUAUUUUAAAUAUUUAAAUAUAACCAUUAAAUAUUUGUAAUUAGUAUUUUUUUUAAAAUAUUUUUUUUAUUUUUAAUUAAUGAUUUUAACACAAUUGUAAUUAAACACCAAGAAAAAAAAUAAAAAUACCAUGUUAUUGGAGGGAUGAAAAAAUAAUUAAGCACCAAAAGUGCUUUUGGGAGAGGAAAAACUAAAAUUUUUAGCUUCUCCUUUUCAGCUCCUUUUCAGAAGUGUUUUUCAAAAGCAGUUCUGAAAAGCUAAAAAUUUCAGCCAAAAGCAGCUUGUUCUUCACAGCUUUUCUUUCAAAAGUGCUUUUGGAGUCAGAAGUGUUUUUUUUAAGCAAUGAAGAACUGGAGUCUUGAUGUCUAUCAAUAAAAUUUAAGAAAUUACCCUAGUCUUGUCAAAAAGUGUUCAUUUUUAAAAUUUUACGAGAGUGAAGUUACAACAAGCGUGAAUAAGCUUAAGCUUAAAUCAUAUUUUAUGUUGUUAAGACUAUAAUGAAUUAUUUAGUAGACAUGACCUCAUAAACAUAAAAUUGGAUCUAAACUACGUAACCAAUUAAUUUUAUUCAUCAUUUUACUUCUCCAUUACUUUUUUUAAUUUUUAGUGUUUUCUUAAGUUGCAACUAACAUAUAGCUUAACCUGUCAUUCAACACUUUCAUAAUUAUAAUUAUUAAUAAUGUUCUUCUCACCGACUAAUGGCGAAACUAGGGGGGCUGGCAGGGCCUGGCCCUGGCCCCGGCCCCCCUAAAAUGAUUUUUUUUCAUACGAUCCCUUUAAAAUUUUUAAAAUUUUAAAUUAAUAAAGGUAAAAUUACCCUUUGCCCCUUUAAAAAUAUAAAAAAUUGAUUUUUUUUCUAUCGUAAAAGUUACAAUUUAAUUUUGGCUCUCCCUAAAAAAAUUUUCUAGUUUCGCCCCUGUCAUCAACCUUAUGUUAAUAUUAAAAAAAUAUAUAUAUAGAUCUAAUACAUUUGUUUAAUUUUUUUAUAACAAAUAAUUAAUAAAAAAUAAUUACAACUGUGUUAAUAAAACUUUUUUUUUUAUCAAAAUAGAUAGGUUUCAAGUUUCUUUAGGGUAAAAAUUUAUUAAUCAAUAUAAAGUGAUUAGAAUUAUUUUAUUUUAUUAAUAAUAUUUUCAUUAUUAGUGUUACGAUUACUAACUUCGAAUGCAUACUAAAUUACACUUAUAAACAUGUAUUACUACAACAAAGAUACAUACAAAUUAUUCAUUUAAAAGUUCAAAAUAACCUUAUUUUUAAUGCAUUGAUAAUACAACUAAUUUAUUUACACCCAUUUUGUAGAUAUUAAAAUAAUAAAAAAUAUGGAUGUGCAACAUUUUCAUAUUUUUUUAAUUAUAUUUAAUUACAAUGAUGUUAAGCAUGAUUUGAGUUCUUUAUAAUAAAUAAUUAAAAAUAUAUACUCACGUGCAAUGCAGGUGAGUUUGAAACUUUCCAAGAAACUUUUGAAGAAAUAAAAAUAACAUUUUAGUUAUUAUUAUUAUUAUUAUUAUAUUUAGAAGUAGAAAAGUGUUUUAUUAAGUUUGAAAUUACCGUCCGUUGGAAUUCGUGUUGCUUUUGUUACUAUUUAAAUUACUUAUUCAAUUUUGACUUAGACUUAUAUUUUAAUAAUAUAUAAAAUUACUAAUUGAGUCUUAUCUAAGUAGGUAUUGAUAUUGUAUCGAGUGCAAGAAAACAUGAGUUUGAAUACGUUGAAACACGCUAUUUUCUUAUUUAAGGGUUGGGAGAGACUAUAAGUAAUUUUAAGCAUUGUAUAAAAAAAACAAAAAUUAAGAAUAAUAAACACAUAAACUCGUAAAAAAAUUAUUGAAAAAAAUACAAAUGAUAAAUUUGAAAGUUCUUUUUAUAAUUGUUAUAGAAUUCAACAUCGUAUGUUCAUAGAAUUUUCAAAGGAAAAAUAAAAAACGUUGUCAUCAAGUUUGACCAAAUCAAGAUUCUACAUGCUAUUUCAUCCUCAUGGAAUUCAAUUAAAUCAAAACCAAAUAUUUAUACAUACAAUUAACGUUGAAAUUAACACUAAAUUAUACAUUACACACUAAAUUAACGUUGAUAUAUGAAUAUAAUAUUAACCCUUUUCAAUAAAAUGGAAAAUAGAAAUUGCUGUUAAAUUCUACCCCAUAGAAAAUAAUGACAAACCAAAUUUGAAGAAAAAAGUAAAUUUCUCCUUGAAUAAUAUUGGAGUUCAAACAAGGUGGCUGGAAAGUAUUAUCCAAAUUUCUUAUUUUGCAGAAAUAAGCAACGAAGUUGUAACGCAAUCAAUAUAAUAUAUUAUCAAUAAGUAUUGUCGAUUGAAUCUUAAAUCGAUUGAUAUUAAUAAUGUUUUAGGCAUUAUACCAAAUAUAUAUGUCAGUAUAAGAGUCAAAAUAUAUUUUAGCCCGAAAAAAAUUAAUAGUGUAGAGCCGUAGUCCACAAUACUGACUUAUUUUGUUUUCAUUCAACCCUCAAUACUGACAUCACUACAGAAGAAAACAAACCAAAAAUAUUUAUAAAGUUAAGAAGAUGAGUUUUAACUGGAAGUGUUGGGCAGGUUGGUGCCGGCAAUGGAACACCAUUGUUCUGGUGCUGCCAUUCCUAUAUCCUUUGGGGCCAACGUAAGAGAUUGAAGAAGCCCCCAUAAAAUAAUGGUUUAAUAUUGGACUUUUAGUCCAAAUGAUAGUAGUAAUAAUCAUCAUUUAUGUCCUAAUAUACGGUCAGUCCAUAUUUGGAAAGAUAGAUUCCGCUGCCUUGAAUUGACUACACUACACAGUGACGCACAUGGCAGACCCCAAGUGUCCCCUCCCACCAGUUUUUUUUGGGCAAAUUACACAUAAAAGCCCUAUUUUUUUAAAAUUUACCGAAAUGGGCCCAGUAAAUAACUAUUUACCUGAAUGGGCCCAUUUCCCCGAAAGCACGUCCACGUCAGCGCGAUGUCAGGGUACGUGACAGGAAAACGCUCCCUCAAGGAUGCGUUUUGCCCGUUUUUGGGUUUUAAAGUUUAGGGUUUUAGGGUUUAGGAUUAAAAAUUAAAUAAAUAAGGGAUUAGAGUUUACAGUAGAGGUGUUCAUGUGUCGGGCAGGGCCUGAUUCGGGCUAGGCCCAAAAAAUUUUUGGCCCUCUUCCUAGGCCCGGGCUCGGCCCAGCCUAAAAUAUGGGCCUAAAAUUUUGUCCAGGCCCGGUGCGGGAAAAAGUUUCUAAGCCCGAGCCUGGCCCGCCCAGACCCAUUUUUAAUAAACACCAAAAAAUUACUUUAAAUAUAAAAAGAAUAAAAAAUAUUUUUAAAAUAUUUUAAAAUUAAAGAAUAAAAAUAUUUAUUUAUUAUAUAUUCGGGCCGGGCCGUUUCGGGCUCAAGCCAAAAAUGUGGUGCCCGAGGCCCAGCCCGUUUUCUAAAUGGGCCUCGCUUUUUUGCCCAAACCCAUAUUUCUGGCCUAUAUUUUUACCUAAACCCUCCCAUAUUUUUUGCCCGGCCCAUGAACACCUCUAAUUUAGGGUUUGUCAAUUAAAUUAUUAAAAAAAUUCAAAACUGGAUUAGUUUUUCGUGUUUAUUAUUUUUUAAAAAAAAAUCAAUUAAAUUAGGGUUUACGGUUACUUGAGUAAUUUAAUUAAAAAUAUUUUCAAAAUUAGAUUAGGAUUAGGGUUAGGGUUAGGGUUAGGGUUAGGGUUAGGGUUUAGGGUGUUUUUAAGUUAAGGGUUUUUAAGGAAAAAUCAAAUAAAUUAGAGUUUAGAGUUUAGGGUUUGUCAAUUAAAAUAUUUAUAAGUUUUUUGAAAUUGGAUUAGUUUUCGUGUUUAUUAUGUUUUAAGAAAAAAAUAAUUAAAUUAGGGUUUAGGGUUACUUGAGUAAUUUAAUUAAAAAAUUUUAAAAAUUAGAUUAGGGUUAUGGUUUAGGGUGUUUUUAAGUUAAGGGUUUUUAAAAAGAUCAUAUAUUAUUUAUAUUUUUUAAAUCGAAAAUUGGUACAAAUAUUUAAAAUAUUAACUUAUUUAAAAGAAAAUCUAUUUUAUUAAAAAUAUUAAAGUAAAUUACAAUUACUUUAUUCAAAACAAUAUUUUAUUUUAUUAAAUGAAAUAAUAUAGAAAUAUUCAACAUACUUAUUUAAAAGAAUUUCUAUUAUAUUAAAAAUGUAAAAGUAAAUUUCUAUUUUAGUACGAAGUGUACAAAUAUAGAAGAAUUUCUAUUUUUUUCACAUCAAAUAACAUCAAAAUAUUCAAAAUGUUUGUACAAAUAUAUUAAAAUAAAAAUCAAUCUUUGUGCACGCCAGAUUUAGUGCCACAUGGCGGCCGUCGAUGGUUACGCGCUGGAUUCCUCCUUUGUCUAGCUUUCGGCAGGGUUGUGGUUACUCCAGCGAGGAUUCUGGUUCCUCCGAUAGGGUAUCUGGUUGUCGGUGUUGGGACGAUAAGCCACCUUGAUAGAAUAGUGACUGUGGAGGUGUUUGCAUCACCAACGGCGAAGCUGUUUGAAACCCAUACGGUGAUGGAGAUUGGUAAAAAGAAGAGCUCCCUGACGGCCCCUCUUGCGAUCCUUCGUGCGACGCAGGUAUAUACAUCGGCGGUCCACUCGGCGUAACGGAAAAUGGAGAUGAACCGGACCAUGGACUCUAACCUGCCAUAGGACUCGGAAAAGGAAACAUAUAAGGGAUAGGAUAUAUAAAAGGGUUAGGAUACGCACCUAGCAUCAUCGGAAAAGGCUGUGCCGUGGGCAUCAUCAGUUGAACUGCUGGGUCGGGUGACUGUGUCGGUGCUCUCGCUGGGCCUGGUGAUUGAAUGGCCGUUGAUGAUGGGCUGGGUGAAUGUCUGGGCCUCGUUGAUGGGCCUGCGUCGUCGUCCCUUCGUCUUGGAUUUAAAGGCCCACGUCGUUCCCUUUGGACAUGUAAUUGCAGUUGCCUCUCCUCUGCCGACAGUAAAUACAGCUUGCCAUGGAUCCUAAACCAUGGCAUGUAUUCUGGCACGCACGCUAACUCUGGAACGAUGACCGGUUCCUGAAUAGGCAUAUAAUCAUACCGAUCUUCCUACAUUUGGAUGUAGUACAACCAAAAUCUCAGCUAAUCUGUAUGCAAUUGUCGUAGGUCGAUUUUGUGAUGAUCAUCAAACACCUCAGGUGCCACGGGAAUCGGUUGUCUACAUCCAAAUUGCCGUAAUACUUUGUCUGACUGGUGCAUCUCCACGGUCACAUAGUUGACCAAUAGUACUUUCGCAUGCCAAGCAUUCUGAUUUUGGAGGUACUCAUCCGGAAUUACUGCCCGAAUUGUUGGAUCCUCGUAUGGUGUCCAUUGAAACUAUAUGAACAUGAUGGAAAUAUUAGUUGUAUACAUAAUACAUAAUAAUAUAUACUAAAUACUAAAUGCCAAUCAACUAGCUCAUGAUGGAAAUAUCAAUUUUAUUUAAUACUUACUUGUACUUCCGACUGUUGGUCUAAUAGAAGCCGUAUAUCUUCAAGAGAGGUAGGUAAUCGAGCAUAACUUGCCGGAUGGUUCCACCUAAUUAAAUAAAUUUUUAGCAUACUAUUAUUUUUAAAAUCUACAUAAUAAUUGUAAAAUCUAAUAUAAAAUUUACCUCAUUAUGAGUGGGAAUGUAUAUGGGUGGUCCACUCGAGGACAUAAAAAUGGAAAGCGAAACCGUGCCCAUGACUGCAGUAGUGACAGGCAACCUCCGAUUUUUACUUUACUCGGUCACGUCACCCCACACAUCUCCUGAUAUAAUGUUGCCAACACGGCAGACCCCCAACUCAAUUCACUAGUUACUCUAAAAUCAACGAGUUUCAGCAGCCAUCGUAGAUGUACGAGGUUCCGUGACAAGUCCGGCAUCAGAUAACCUCUAAUUAUCUGAAGAAUAUAUGCCCGAGCAUAUCGGAUUCUAUCUACUUUGGUUGAAUCAUCAUCUAGAUCCGGGAAUGUGUCUCGUAACUAGCCCAUCUCGAUCCGACCUCCGUUAAUUUUCUUCGGAAUAGCUCCCAAAAUCUCGUAGUACACUGCUCCUCAAUCGCCAGAUUGAACAUACCCGGUGACUAGGUACCCAUCCACCGGUAAUCCCAAUUGCAGAUUGACAUCUUCCAAAGUGAUAGUGCACUCUCCACAUGGAAGAUGGAAUGUGUGCGUCUCAGGUCUCCACCUCUCAAUCAACGCACUGAUAAGUUUCGAGUCCAACUUGUAUCCUCGGCCUACCGUCGCCACGUGCCAAAAACCCGCUUCCCGCAGGUGAUUCUCUACCAACGGUGAUGGAGGAUCAUGCAUAUUAUCGAUAUAGCAUUCCAAUAUCCGAUCUAUAGACUUUUAUAACAAAUAAUAAAUUAAUAAUUAUUUAAAAAUGCAUAAAUAAAAAAAUCUUAAAUAAUAUUUAAAAAAUAAAUUUAACACUUACCAUUUUCAUUUGUUCGACGGAUAUGUGCUUGUUAUCAAGACGAAUCAAUUCUCCGGCCAUUGCUAAAUUCGUACAAAUUUUUACAAUUUAAAAAAAUUUAAAAAAAAUAGAAUUUUUUAAAAAUAAUUAAAAAAUAGGGAUUUAAGAGAAAUUUGAGAGCAAAUUGAGAGGACAUUGAGGUGUUGUUGAGAGAAUAAUAGAGAAAUGAUUAAUUUCUGGAAAAAAAAAUGAAGGGGUGGGGGUUUUUAUAGUUUUUUUUACCGUUGGGGAGUUCACCAACAGUCAAAAAAUAGCCGUUGCACUGUUCACGAGCGGGGAAAACGCGUCCCUAGGGACGCGCUAAUGUGGCAGGAAAAUGCGUCCACGUCAGCGCGCUUUCUGUCCAUGUGGACAAAGCGCACCCUUGAGGGCGCGUUUUGUUGCCUUGUCAGCAGAUAGCGCCUUGACGUGGACGCGUUUUCUCGGUAUGGGCCCAUUCCUGUAAAUAAUUAUUUACCGGGCCCAUUUUGAUAAAUUUUAAAAAAUAGGGCUUUUUUUACAAUUUGCCCAAUUUUUUUAAUAACAAAAUAACAAGUACGCCAUGCUUUAUUAAUUCUCUUUGUUAUAGUUUCUUCAAAAUUUCCCCUCUAACCAUGGCAUAAAAUAAUAAUAAUUUUUACCUAUUUCAUUUUCUUUUAAGGUGAUUAAUAUUUGUUUUCAUAACCAGGUUAAGUUGGGUAUGUGUUAAUUCGUGUUGAAAUCAAUUUUUUAGUCCGGUUGAAUGGAACCGUUUCGAUUCUUUAUUUAAUCAGUUCAAAGUCUUUUAAAUUAGUACUCCAAUCGACUCUUGAUUCAAUUGAUUUAGAUAAUAUUAGGACAAAUUAAUUUAAUGUUAUAGAGUGUAUCAUAAUUACUAAAACAUAUUUUUAGAGAACUAAAACUUUUAAAAAUAUCAUAAAUCAUAAACUCGUUUGUUUCACAUCAUUUGAUAUUAUAGAAAAUUAAAUAUAGUUGUUUUAUGUUGAAAGUUAAAUAUUGUACGAUAUUCAUAAAAAUAAAAGAAGAUAAAAACUAGUUUAACUAAUUUUUUUAAUCUGGUUCGUACCAGUUUCUCCUCAAUUGGUUUGAAGCCUUUCUCUAAACAAUAUUAUGCCUAUCAAUUCUCGGUCUAACCGAUUUGACAGACUAAUUUAGUUCAAAUAAAUAUGAUAUUUUGAAUUUUUUUGAAGUGGAGAAGAGAAUGAGAUAAUAAAUUAAAUUUAUUUUUAAUUAAUAGAAAUUAAAGGAGAAUUGAAAAAAAUAAUUUAAAUUAUUUUUCAAUACGUGUGGUGUAAUAUGAUUGGUAGUUGAAACAUGUGGUAUAAUUUGAUUUGUUGAGAUGAAAACUUAACGAGUGUUAGUUAUAUACUAAAAAGAAGUACCAAUUUAACUUACAGUUUGUAAGUUUAGGUAUUUGUUAGGUCCAAAAAAAGCUAAAUGCCAAGUAGGUACAUAUUGCCAAGUUUAAUAAUAGUAUAUUGUUGCUGAACGAGUGUGUGUGCUUAACUUAGCUGGUAGCAGGAUCAACCGAAAAGUACUAAAAUGCUGUUCAUAUAGAAUAUAAGUUACAUUGCAGUGUCGGCAUAAAAAAAAUAUUAUUUAUCCCCGACCCAAUCAACAAGCUAGAGGUGCUCAUGGGCUAGGCCGGGCCUAGAAAAAAUUUUGGCCACGUCCUAAGCCCGGCCCGAAAUAUGGGCCUAAAAUUUUGUCUAGGCCCAGCUCGAGAAAAAUUCCUAAGCCCGAGCCCGGUCCGGCCCUUUUUUAAUAAACACUAAAAAUUUAUUUUAAAAAUAAAAAAUAAAAAAGUAUUUUAAAACUAUUUUAAAAUUAAAAAAUAAAAAUAUAUAUUUAUUAUAUUCGGGCAGGGCCAGGCCCGGCCAAAAAAGUGGUGCCUCCUGAGGCCCGGCCUGUUUUCUAAACGGGUAUCUUUUUUUUGCCCAAACCCAUAUUUUGGGCCUAUAUUUUUACCCGAACCCUCCCACAUUUCGAACGGGACGUCGGGCUGGGCCGGGCCGCCUAGCCCAUGAGCACCUCUACACAAGCAAUAAUUACACAGUGAUGAACUUUGGUGCUGACCAUCGGAGUGUCGGCAUUGCCCAACAUUAUAGAUUACAGGUCAUUUUCGUUAUAGGUUUUGAAUCUAAGUCAUUUUCGUAAAUAAAAAAUUUUUCGGGUCAUUUUUGAAAAAAAAAGUCUUACUUAGAUCUUUUAAUUUCCUUCAAAUCAGUAUAUUAUGAGUGCAAAAUAGAGGGUUGUAGCUCAAAUUAUGAUAAAAAUACUAAAGUUACAGUAUGUGAAAGUCUCAGCUGUAAAACUUGCCAAAAAUAAACUUUAAACUUUUUUUUCUCAAAUUAUUCCCUAAAUUAAUAAUAGAUAAAAUAUAAGUAUAAAUAAUAUAAUUAUUAACAAAACUAGCAUAAGGUGAAAAAUAUGACUGAUAAAUAGAGAAAUUGGACAAUUAUCAAUAGUUUACGAUUUUCUUUUGUAUAGCUCAAGAUUAGUUGUGGGAAUCAGGUGUAAAGGGUUCUUUUUACCCAUAAUGAUUCCAAAUUUACCAGAAAGGUCAACCUUUUCGUCUUGGGGCAAUUUCCACUCAAAAGAAUGCAGCAAUGGGGCCAAUAUGAAAGAUAACAUCUUCUCCCCCAAGUUAAUGCCUGGACACUUUCUCCUUCGGGACCCGAACGGCAAAUAUCAAAAAUCAUUUCCACGGAAAUCUAAUUUUCCAGGCUCAUUUAAAAACCUCUCAGGUUGAAAUUCCAUAGGAUUGUCCCAAAUAUUAGGGUCCCUGUGAAUGGAGCACGUAUUUAGGAACACCCUACUACCCUUUGGUAUGGUAUAGCCACCCACAGUGAGCGAUCGGGCUGAACAUCGGGGAACAAGGAGCGGCAACACUGGAUGUAAUCGGAAGGUUUCCUUUAUCACUGCAUUUAGGUAUCUUAAAUUAGGCAAGUGAAACUCUUCAACAGUAUUGUUUACCCCAAUGACAUCAUUUAAUUCUUCCUUCACUUUCUCCAUUAUUUCUGGAUGUUGCAUCAGCUCUGACAUUGCCCACUCUGUUGAACCCGAAGUAGUAUCUG
rnacentral:lncRNA from 1 species